rnacentral:rRNA from 1 species
GUGGGGAAUAUUGGACAAUGGGCGAAAGCCUGAUCCAGCCAUGCCGCGUGUGUGAAGAAGGUCUUCGGAUUGUAAAGCACUUUAAGUUGGGAGGAAGGGCAGUAAGUUAAUACCUUGCUGUUUUGACGUUACCGACAGAAUAAGCACCGGCUAACUUCUUGACAGCAGCCGCGGUAAUACGAAGGGUGCAAGCGUUAAUCGGAAUUACUGGGCGUAAAGCGCGCGUAGGUGGUUUUGUAAGUUGGAGGUGAAAUCCCCGGGCUCAACCUGGGAACUGCCUCCAAAACUGCAUGACUAGAGUACGGUAGAGGGUAGUGGAAUUUCCUGUGUAGCGGUGAAAUGCGUAGAUAUAGGAAGGAACACCAGUGGCGAAGGCGACUACCUGGACUGAUACUGACACUGAGGUGCGAAAGCGUGGGGAGCAAACAGGAUUAGAUACCCGUGUAGUCC